UACGUAGGGUGCGAGCGUUAAUCGGAAUUACUGGGCGUAAAGCGUGCGCAGGCGGUGAUGUAAGACCGAUGUGAAAUCCCCGGGCUUAACCUGGGAACUGCAUUGGUGACUGCAUCGCUCGAGUAUGGCAGAGGGGGGUAGAAUUCCACGUGUAGCAGUGAAAUGCGUAGAGAUGUGGAGGAACACCGAUGGCGAAGGCAGCCCCCUGGGUCAAGACUGACGCUCGAUGCACGAAAGCGUGGGGAGCAACAGG
rnacentral:rRNA from 1 species